UGUGCCUUGAGGCGUGGCUUCCGGAGCUAACGCGUUAAGUCGACCGCCUGGGGAGUACGGCCGCAAGGUUAAAACUCAAAUGAAUUGACGGGGGCCCGCACAAGCGGUGGAGCAUGUGGUUUAAUUCGAUGCAACGCGAAGAACCUUACCUACUCUUGACAUCCAGAGAACUUAGCAGAGAUGCUUUGGUGCCUUCGGGAACUCUGAGACAGGUGCUGCAUGGCUGUCGUCAGCUCGUGUUGUGAAAUGUUGGGUUAAGUCCCGCAACGAGCGCAACCCUUAUCCUUUGUUGCCAGCGGUUAGGCCGGGAACUCAAAGGAGACUGCCAGUGAUAAACUGGAGGAAGGUGGGGAUGACGUCAAGUCAUCAUGGCCCUUACGAGUAGGGCUACACACGUGCUACAAUGGCGCAUACAAAGAGAAGCGACCUCGCGAGAGCAAGCGGACCUCAUAAAGUGCGUCGUAGUCCGGAUUGGAGUCUGCAACUCGACUCCAUGAAGUCGGAAUCGCUAGUAAUCGUAGAUCAGAAUGCUACGGUGAAUACGUUCCCGGGCCUUGCACUCCCCGCCCCGUCAA
rnacentral:rRNA from 1 species